GAUCCUGGCUCAGGAUGAACGCUGGCGGCGUGCUUAACACAUGCAAGUCGAACGGGAAUUACUUUAUUGAAACUUCGGUCGAUUUAAUUUAAUUCUAGUGGCGGACGGGUGAGUAACGCGUGGGUAACCUGCCUUAUACAGGGGGAUAACAGUCAGAAAUGGCUGCUAAUACCGCAUAAGCGCACAGAGCUGCAUGGCUCGGUGUGAAAAACUCCGGUGGUAUAAGAUGGACCCGCGUUGAUUAG
rnacentral:rRNA from 1 species